AGGAUGAACGCUAGCGGCAGGCCUAAUACAUGCAAGUCGAACGGCAGCGGGUCCUUCGGGAUGCCGGCGAGUGGCGGACGGGUGCGUAACGCGUAUACAACCUACCUAUCACAGGGGGAUAGCCCGGGGAAACUCGGAUUAAUACCCCAUAAAGCAGGGGUUUCGCAUGGGACUAUUUGCUAAAGAUUUAUCGGUGAUAGAUGGGCAUGCGUCUGAUUAGUUAGUUGGUGGGGUAACGGUCCACCAAGGCGACGAUCAGUAGGGGGUCUGAGAGGAUGAUCCCCCACACUGGCACUGAGAUACGGGCCAGACUCCUACGGGAGGCAGCAGUAGGGAAUAUUGGUCAAUGGGCGAGAGCCUGAACCAGCCAUGCCGCGUGCAGGAAGACGGCCUUCUGGGUUGUAAACUGCUUAACUACGGGAAUAAAAAGGUUCUGCGGGACAAAUUGCAUGUACCGUAGGAAUAAGCACCGGCUAACUCCGUGACAGCAGACGCGGUAAUACGGAGGGUGCAAGCGUAGUCCGGAUAUAUAGGGUAUAAAGGGUGCGUAGGAGGAUAAUUAAGUCAGGGGUGAAAGGCAUAGGAUCAAGCAGUGAAUUGACUUAGAUACUGGUAAUCAUGAGUACAGAAGAGGUGGGCGGAAUAUAUGGUGUAGCGGCGAAAUGCAUAGAUACCAUAAAGAACACCGAUCGCGUAGGCCGCUCACU
rnacentral:rRNA from 1 species